rnacentral:Y_RNA from 1 species
GGCUGGUCCGAUGGUAGUGGGUUAUCAGAACUUACUAACAUUAGCACCAUUAAAGUUAGUAUACAACCCCCCACUGCUAAAUUUGGCUUUAA